CCUACGGGUGGCAGCAGUGAGGAAUAUUGGUCAAUGGACGAGAGUCUGAACCAGCCAAGUAGCGUGAAGGAUGACUGCCCUAUGGGUUGUAAACUUCUUUUAUAUGGGAAUAAAACAGGGUAUGCAUACCCUUUUGUAUGUACCAUAUGAAUAAGGAUCGGCUAACUCCGUGCCAGCAGCCGCGGUAAGACGGAGGAUCCGCGCGUUAUCCGGAUUUAUUUGGUUUAAAGGGAGCGUAGGUGGAUUGUUAAGUCAGUUGUGAAAGUUUGCGGCUCAACCGUAAAAUUGCAGUUGAAACUGGCAGUGUUGAGUACAGUAGAGGUGGGCGGAAUUCGUGGUGUAGCGGUGAAAUGCUUAGAUAUCACGAAGAACUCCGAUUGCGAAGGCAGCUCACUGGACUGCAACUGACACUGAUGCUCGAAAGUGUGGGUAUCAAACAGGAUUAGAUACCCGUGUAGUC
rnacentral:rRNA from 1 species